rnacentral:lncRNA from 1 species
AAUAAUAUUUAUCAGCAGAUAUAACUUUGCCAUCCGAAUACUCGUCAAAGAGUAAGAAACAUCGUGACACGUGAAAUUCUACACGGAGUUCCCUCCUAAUCCUUGGAUUUUUAACAUCAGAUGUUUAAUUCUGAAUGCACAGAAACAUCCACAUACUUCAUUUUUAACGAUAUUUAUUCUGGAACGAGUUUUAUUCAAAAGGCAAAUGAGCAGAGAACAUUCCACUUGCCACCGACACACGGUCAUUACAGAAAAAGCUAAUUCAGUGUUCAGGGAUGGAUAUGCCCACAGAUGUUUCUGCUGUGUUGAUCUGCUUAGGUAGAUAAUCUGGUUGUGGGAGAAAUGUCCCGUGUGAGCGCGAGCUGUCGGCUGUGGCACACAGGACCACUUGCGGAUUUCUCCCCACUACAUUGCAUGGGGAAGCAACCACACAGGAAGUGACCUAGUGGAAGCCUCACGUCUGGUGCUUCCCUGAAUGACAAUGGUCCUCCCAGUCCUCCAGAAGGUGAGGAGCCAGAGGGAGUCCUUUGUUCCCUGCCCCCCACCCCCCACACCCUCUGCCCUGCCUUCCUCCCACCUGCUUCCCAGCUCGUAAAACCUGCAGACUCCCCAGGCCCACCUGGGAGCCCCGGCCUCCGUGGCCCUGUUGCACUUGACCACGCCAGCCAUCAGGCUUCUUGCACUGUCACGCCCUGUGCAUGUCCGCUUCCUACCAGGAGCCCAGCACCGUGCCUGCCACACAGGAACCAACGCACAGACAAGGCCAAGAGGGGGCUGGUCGGAAAUGCCUACAAGCCAGGCAGCGCACAUGGCUGUGCCCAGGCAGACGCUCACACCCAGCGCACCUGCUGGGGACAGCUUCUCCACGCUGGCCCCUCUUUUGUCAUUCCUCUCUGUCCUCUGACCCGCGCUGCAUGCUGCCAGGUGGAAGCAGGAUGUGAGGCUGGACUUGCUUGUCCCCAGACCCUCCUUCUUGUCUCCCUCCUCCUGCACCGUUGCCCUCUUGGCCUCGUCUUCCCCUGCUGCCCCUGUGUCACCUCCACAGUGGCCCCCCGCCCCUGUGGCCCUCCUGUCUGCUCCUGCUCCCUUUGCAGGUGGGUCCCAUGUCCUACAGCAUCCAGGAGCCUGCCCCCCCCCCCCCGCCGUGUCUGCAGAGGCCAGGACCCGCAGUCCCCAAAUGCUUCACAUCUGUUUAACUUUCUGCGUGUCCUUCUUGGUGAGAAAUACCGAAGCGCGGGGAGGAGUGUUGAGGCGCAAGCCUCGUGGCCAGGCUGCAUGUGCGCACACACAGGUGCACACCCGUCACAAUCAGCAUAGGUAUGUGUGCAUGUGCGCGAUUGACAUUCAAAGUCCUGGUAUAAAAUUGCAGUUUUCCUGGCUGCUAUAAAAUGUGCCAGUUUUAAAACUGUGCAUUUGUUGCUUGCAAACUUAUAAAUAUGUAUAAACCCCAUUAUAAAUAAAUUGUGGCUGGCAGAUGGCAUUUUAUCUGCCAGCAGUGAUUGCAUGGAGUUUUAAAUGCUUAUUAAUCCUCCACUUUUAAAACUCAGAGCACAGACUCUGGGCUCCAUGACAUGAGGUGGUGGGAAAACACAGCCAUAGUUUGGCGGGGGGGCGGUGGGGGAAGCCCUCGGCAAGCCAUAGUUUGGCGGGGGACCGCACCUGGUGGUGGUCCUCAAAGUCCACACUUGCCACCAGCAUUGCCCAGUUUACUAGGAAUGCAAAUUCCUGGGCCCUGCACAGACUCCUGGGGUGGGGCCUGUGGGCCCCUUGCAGACCCGCUUAGCCUGCAGGCCCGCUUAGCCUGCAAGCCUGUCCUUCUGCCCAGGAUCCCCGGCUCAGGUGUGCACAGGGCCUGUUCCCCACCCGCGAUGGGCCAGUGGCUAGGCGCUGCUGGGUGAGCACUGACAUGUGCCCGGGCCUGUCUCCUGCUGUCCCUCAGAGCCUUGGUGACCUUAGUCUUCUACAUGGUGGUGACUUGCCCUAUAGGAGUCUGUCUCUGAAGAGCCCCAAACACUUCCUUGUCCAUGUAGGACUCCCGUCUUUAUAUAUUUUGCAAAAAGAAUGAGCAUAAAUGCGAACCCAAUGAGGAGGGAAGAGCUAUGUGUCGUUCUCUACCAGGGGCUGAGCUUUAUACGCGAACUGUAAAGGACCCUAAUAAGUUCUGUGCUCCUAAUUGUCACCACACUCCAGCGGGUCAUCUGGCCUCAGGUGCCCCACUGAAAGGGGCUUCUGCAGCUUCACGAUCCUCUAACACUCCCUUGCUGGUCAUCUUCUGGGGGCCGCCGGCACACCCAGGUUCACAAUACCUUCCUGUAAAGUGGUUUUUCCAAUUCAUCAUUCUCAGGACCCAUUUUUAAAGUUUCACUACAGAGCCAGAUAUUAUCCUAAAACUCAUGACCAAAAUUUGUCUGUGACAUACCGUGACCCAGUGCAGUAUUUCCACAAUCUCCGUCCCCUUUCCAAUCAGCCUAUCACACUGCCCACAGAAAGGCUCAAAUGGACCCCAGGUGUGCUACGUAUGCGGGCGGUGAGAGAACCAUCAUGCCUGUGCAUGCAGCAUCCUGGGAAGCACCUGUCCUUCCUGUUUCUGUCCUUUCGCUGGCACCUCCCGCUCCAUCUCACAGCAGCGGGGUGCAGGAGGCCAGCCACCGCCCAGAGACACCGAGCGACAAGCGGGUGGCCACAUGGCUCUGACAGAGGCCUGUGAUCUCGCAGGAAAUGCCUCCACCUAGGGACCCAUUCAGGCAAAGAAGGACCAGGACAUCAGUUUGUAUGUGUCACUUAUGUGAAGGAGCCACCAGGCAUCAGGCAGCACCUGAAGGGAGCUCUCCAUCUAAGGAGCCCAGGAUGGCCGGAGCCAGGAGGCAGUGGCGAGCAUCGGAGCGCAGGCCCUCGGGGGCCACCCUGACGGCUGCCCUGCCCACUCCUCCCAAGCCAGGCCUUGCCCUUGGCACAGGCUUGGUCUCUCCUGCCUUCAUGGGGCAUCACCCGUGCUGCCUUCCUCCUUAUGACCCCUUGGGACACCAAAUGUCCUGCACCAGGGCUCCUGUCCACCCAGCCUCCCAAACCCCCGAGACAGCGCUAAACAGAUGGUUGUUCAAAUGAAACCCAGGUCACAGCAAAGCGGCCCCUGGGUCCUGUGGCGUCUCAAGUAUGAAAAGCCCAAGAGUGGCGGCUUCUGGGGGGACAGAGUUGGGAUCGGCCGCAAUGGGGAGAUGUUAGGACGUGUCGGCCAUCAGACAUGAGUGCCUCGGGGCCUUGAGCAUCAGAGCUCGCUGGCACCACUGGGAACAGCCCCACGGGGAAUGCCUAGGCUCUCGUGGGGCAAGGACGGCCCUUGAAAAUGCCACUAAUGCACACACGAGGGUGAGGGGGGUGGCGGUGGGGGGUACGGGUCUCCAGGGCCCAUGUUGACCUGCCGUACACUCCCAGCACACCCAGAGGCCUGGGCGGAGAGGCAGGGGCCCCUGGGGAGCAGCAGGCCCAAGGCCACCAUGGGCUCCAGGGGUCCAGGCACAGUGAGCAGUGUACGUAGCCAGGGACUCAGAGGUCCCGGAACACGCAACCCUGCCCUGGCAGAGAUGCAGUCUGACUAGGCAGGGGGGCCCCAGGCUGCGCAGGGUGAGACCCGUCUUAGCCCAGGAAUCCUAGCUGCAGGCACACGGCGGUGCCCGGACACGUGCAGGGGGCACAACAGCUCUGCCCGCCCACUGUGCCUCAGUUUCUCCACCAGCAAGUGAGGCUCCCCAUAGUGCCCAUCACACAGCACUGCGGGGGAGCUGAGGUGACCCCUAAAGCCACACCAUACAUCACAUGGCGGGGGACACGGGCAAGGGAGUGGCAGCCGUCCGCCAGGUCUGCAGGGCGCCCCGGUGGCUACGAAGGAGCACAGUUUCCCAACAGCAAUGCUGUUAUUAUAAGCAAUCCUGGAAUCUGAACUCAAAAGUACACAUUUUGAAUUAAAAUUGAAACAAAAUUUGAUCUCCCCCCAAUAUUUCUAAUUUUCUAAAUGGAUUCUCAUGCAAAGAAACGUGAUCUAUACUGCUUACCACCACUGCGCUAACCAGUGACUUCACAGCAAGAGCUCCCACACCUGCAGACCACUCACUUCUGGCCUCCCUGAGAGGGCAGAGGAGGCAGGUCAAUGUCCCGGGGCUCAGGGUCCCUCACCAGCCUUUCCUACUUCGCCCUUAAACAUUAGCAUUUGGGGUGCGUGCUUAAGAUGCCCUUGCUGGGCCUCGCAGGCCGUUGAGAGGGAAGUUGUUUUAUGCAUUUUUAUAUGUGUGGACACUUGCACACGCGGGUGGGAUGUGUGUGUGUGUGUGUGUGUGUGUGUGUGUGUACAGGGCUGCGGGGCUGCAGGGGAUGGGACACAGGGCAGUUCCCAUAGCUACCCCACCCCCCCGUCUAUAUCACCACAGGGCAGGAACCCCACCAGCUGCUGCCCCAGCCCUGUUCAGCUCCCACUACUUCUGGGUAACAUGGGGCAUGGUGUCUGUGCCAUGGCUGAAACCAGAACUGCUCUAGGAAGAGCUAGGUGGUCCUAGGUUAGUUCGAAUGCACAGUGGAACAUUCUAGAAGCCUAAGCCACUGUCGUCUUAGAUUCCUGGACCCUCGAAGGACAAAAAGUCCUAAGAGGGCUCCACACAAAACCUGUGGACCUGCCCAACCCAUUCCUGCCCAUGAGCUCCACCCCAUCUUCCAUCC